rnacentral:rRNA from 1 species
UGGGGAAUAUUGGACAAUGGGCGAAAGCCUGAUCCAGCCAUGCCGCGUGUGUGAAGAAGGUCUUCGGAUUGUAAAGCACUUUACGUUGGGAGGAAGGGCAUUAAGCGACUACCUUGCUGUUUUGCCGUUACCUACAGAAUAAGCACCGGCGAACUCUGUGCCAGCAGCCGCUGUACUACAGUGGGUGCAAGCGUUAAUCGGAAUUACUGGGCGUAAAGCGCGCGUAGGUGGUUCGUUAAGUUGAAUGUGAAAGCCCCGGGCUCAACCUGAGAACUGCACCCAAAACUGGCGAGCUAGAGUAGAGCAGAGGGUGGUGGAAUUUCCUGUGUAGCGGUGAAAUGCGUAGAUAUAGGAAGGAACACCAGUGGCGAAGGCGACCACCUGGGCUCAUACUGACACUGAGGUGCGAAAGCGUGGGGAGCAAACAGG